rnacentral:rRNA from 1 species
CCAGCCUGAUGCAGCCAUGCCGCGUGUUGAAGAAGGCCUUCGGGUUGUAAAGUACUUUCAGCGAGGAGGAAGGCGUUGUGGUUAAUAACCUUAAUGAUUGACGUUACUCGCAGAACAAGCACCGGCUAACUCCGUGCCAGCAGCCGCGGUAAUACGGAGGGUGCAAGCGUUAAUCGGAAUUACUGGGCGUAAAGCGCACGCAGGCGGUCUGUCAAGUCGGAUGUGAAAUCCCCGGGCUCAACCUGGGAACUGCAUCCGAAACUGGCAGGCUAGAGUCUUGUAGAGGGGGGUAGAAUUCCAG